CAAACCCUUCCGCUCCAAACCAAACCCUCUCUCCCUCCCCAGCUCCAAACCAAACCCUCUCUCUCUCCCCAGCUCCAAACCAAACCCUUCCCCUCCCCAGCUCCAAACCAAACCCUCUCUCCCUCCCCAGCUCCAAACCAAACCCUCUCUCCCUCGCCAGCUCCAAACCAACCCCCCCUCUCUCUCCAGCUACAAACCAAACUCAGUCUAGGUAUUAGUAGACAAAGCUUUAUUUCGACUGUACAGACAGUUUAGUGCAGAACACAGAAAGCUCUUAUCAGAAUGUAUAUAUAACAGAAGAACAGUGACCACUGUUUCAAGGUCUGGCAUAGGAAAGAACAUCAAACCUCUUUAAUCCUAUUGCCCAACACACAGUCACACACUGUUACGUUCCCCAGAUUAUGUGUUGUAGUUUGUGUAUUUGCAUGUGUUUAUUUCAGGAAAUGGCUUCCUGAAAUCCCUCAAGCAGCUGAUUGGUCGACUCCAGGGCUAAUUGGAGAGCUGACCCCGCCCCCUCGUCAAGACACAGCUGUCUCCAAUUCCCCAUUCCUUCAGAAGCUAUAUAAAAGCCAGUGUUCUGUUCAGAAGAUCUUUUUGUAGAGGAUUUUGCUGGAGGUAGAUUUGCUAGAGAGAUUUGCUGGGAGGUCAUUGUAGAGAUUUUGCUAGAGAGAUUUUGUUAGAGGUUGAUUUUGCUGGGAGUUCAUUGCUGAGAGUUGGUAUGUUUUGUGAGUUUGUUGCUCAGAUAGAACUUAUUUGAUGUCCUUUGUCUCUUAGUUUGUUUGAAAUUGUUUAAUAUUCUGUUUCAUUUGUUCCCAGGGGGGAAGGCACCUAGGGAGUGCUUAGGCAAGAGGCCCGUGGGCAUACAUAUACCCGUAGCAUAUUCGCUGUCUAGGCACACUAGGUAAGACCUGGGCGGACCACCCCUUGUAUUUUGGUUAGGGCACCAGGUGGUGCUAAAUUAGGUAAGUAGUGGGUAGGCAGGUGAGGGGGGGGGCUUUGAGAUUUACUUUCUUUGCUUUGGUUCCGUCCAGCCCCUUUUCCCCAUAUUACCGUGUAAAGGAAUAAAGUCCUUGUAAACGGUACCACAUUCUGCUUGUCAUUUUUACUCGCACCUACAGUCCAUACCUUUUUCGCUUCACAGAGUUUAGUUGUAGCAGGGUGUUGCGUUCCCUCUUCAUAGAGGCGUGCGUAACACACCUACUAAAAACAUCAGUCUCUCUACAAUGGCAUGCAGAGCCAUUGAUAAGUUCAGGGGGAGGUUGACAGACAACCUUUUGGGAAAUGCCAGCUAGGUAUUAAGAGACUCCAAAGUUGUUGUUCAGGAUGAACCAGACUUCUGUGGCUGUCUUAUCUAAUACCAAGACCUUUGUUUAAUCUUUUGCAUUCCAGCCCGAGGUGGUUGUAGAGGAGCUGUAGUGUGUGUUGGCUCAGGAGUGUGCCUGUUUAUGAAGGGAGAGGAGCUGUAGAGUGUGCCUGUUUAUGAAGGGAGAGGAGCUGUAGUGUGUGUUGGCUCAGGAGUGUGCCUGUUUAUGAAGGGAGAGGAGCUGUAGUGUGUGUUGGCUCAGGAGUGUGCCUGUUUAUGAAGGAGAGGAGCUGUAGUGUGUGUUGGCU
ensembl:lncRNA